ensembl:lncRNA novel transcript
UGGCCCUGUGGGGUGGACCAGGGGUUUCUCCCCAGACGCCUGUUGGGGCCAGGGCUGCCCCCUCAGACCUCCAAGACGUCGAGUGUGGAGGACACCCUGGAGGAGGAGAUGGAACCCUCCUGUUUGCUGGGGCUCGGCCCCCGGUGAGGCUGGCUGCAGGUGACCACAGAGACCUAGCCUGGUGUCGU